AGUCGUAACAAGGUUUCCGUAGGUGAACCUGCGGAAGGAUCAUUAAAGGACCCGUCGGGAACAAGCCGGGCGACCGAAAGGUCCCCGGCCCCGUCACCCUGCUUAGAAGCCACAGUUGCCUCGGCGGCACGGGAGGGAUGGGCUGGCGCUCGAAGGGAGACACCGUUUCUCGUCGGGCCGCCUCCAGCCCCUUCCUCGCCGGAGGAACAGACCACGAAAAACUCUUUUGCGAUCGAGACCGGACCAGCGCCGGGCGUGAGCGAGAGGGUGAAGGAGCGAGGUGAGCCUGAAAGGGCUUCCCAAGUUCCGCCUGUCCACGUCCGAAAACACUGAACGAGAGAAUUUAAAUCAAAACCUUUGACGACGGAUCUCUUGGUUCUG
rnacentral:misc_RNA from 1 species